CCACCCCUAGCACAAUGGUAGUGCAUUCGUCUUAUACACGAAGGGUUCCUGGUUCGAGUCCAGGGGGGUGGA
rnacentral:tRNA from 2 species